rnacentral:rRNA from 1 species
UCUUCCCUCUCUCUCCAGGCUUAACACAUGCAAGUCGAGGGGAAACGGCAUUAAGUGCUUGCACUUUUUGGACGUCGACCGGCGCACGGGUGAGUAACGCGUAUCCAACCUUCUCAUGACUAAGGGAUAACCUGCCGAAAGGCAGACUAAUACAUUAUGGUCUUCACUGACGGCAUCAGAUGUGAAGUAAAGAUUUAUCGGUUAUGGAUGAGGAUGCGUCUGAUUAGCUUGUUGGCGGGGUACCGGCCCACCAAGGCAACGAUCAGUAGGGGUUCUGAGAGGAAGGUGCCUCACAUUGGAACUGAGACACGGUCCAAACUCCUACGGGAGGCAGCAGUGAGGAAUAUUGGUCAAUGGGCGAGAGCCUGAACCAGCCAAGUAGGGUGCAGUAUGACGGCGCUAUGGGUUGUAAACUGCUUUUGUAUGGGGAUAAAGUCAAUCACGUGUGAUUGUUUGCAGGUACCAGACGAAUAAGGACCGGCUAAUUCCGUG